CCAAUAGCGUAUAUUAAAGUUGUUGCAGUUAAAAAGCUCGUAGUUGAAUUUCGGGGUCAGUAGAUUGGUCAUGCCUCCGGUAUGUACUGGUCUUACUGGUUCCUCCUUCCUGAUGAACCGUAAUGCCAUUAAUUUGGUGUUGCGGGGAGACUGGACUGUUACUUUGAAAAAAUUAGAGUGUUUAAAGCAGGCUAACGCUUGAAUACAUUAGCAUGGAAUAAUGAAAUAGGACGUUCGAUCUUAUUUUGUUGGUUUCUAAGAUUGACGUAAUGAUUAAUAGGGAUAGUUGGGGGGAUUAGUAUUCAAUUGUCAGAGGUGAAAUUCUUGGAUUUAUUGAAGACUAACUACUGCGAAAGCAUUUGCCAAGGAUGUUUUCAUUAAUCAGUGAACGAAAGUUAGGGGAUCGAAGACGAUCAGAUACCGUCGUAGUCUUAACAGUAAACUAUGCCGACUAGGGAUCGGACGACCUCAAUUUUGAUGCGUCGUUCGGCACCUUACG
rnacentral:rRNA from 1 species